UACGUAGGUGGCAAGCGUUGUCCGGAAUUAUUGGGCGUAAAGCGCGCGCAGGCGGCUAUCCAAGUCAGUGGUGAAAGCCCGGAGCUCAACUCCGGAACUGCCAUUGAAACUGUUUAGCUUGAGGACGGAGAGAGGUGAGUGGAAUUCCCAGUGUAGAGGUGAAAUUCGUAGAUAUUGGGAAGAACACCGGUGGCGAAGGCGGCUCACUGGCUCGUAUCUGACGCUCAGGCGCGACAGCGUGGGGAUCAAACAGG
rnacentral:rRNA from 1 species